AAAGACACAUUUCCUGAAGACCAAGGCUCACGUGCUCCCAGAAUACCAUCCAAGGCAGGCUCGGCACUGGUGCAACGCAGGCGAUGAAGAAUUCAGAGAGGCGGGCUCAGCCAGCCCCCCUCCAACCUUCCCCCUCUCCGUGCUUCUCCUUGGUUAUAAGGGACUGGCUGGCCACGCUUCUCUAGGUUCCCUCUCCCAGGAUUCAGAUAAGAUUUAGGCCUCGGGAGACUGGGUGAUGACCAUCCAUCCACACAGUUG
rnacentral:lncRNA from 1 species